rnacentral:rRNA from 1 species
CACGUAGGGCGCAAGCGUUGUUCGGAAUUACUGGGCGUAAAGGGCGCGUAGGCGGCUUUGUAAGUCAGAUGUGAAAGCCCCGGGCUCAACCUGGGAACUGCAUUUGAUACUGCAAGGCUAGAGAUCGAGAGAGGAAAGUGGAAUUACGAGUGUAGAAGUGAAAUUCGUAGAUAUUCGUAGGAACACCAGUGGCGAAGGCGACUUUCUGGCUCGAUACUGACGCUAAAGCGCGAAAGCGUGGGGAGCAAACAGG